rnacentral:rRNA from 1 species
CCUACGGGAGGCAGCAGUGGGGAAUAUUGGACAAUGGGGGGAACCCUGAUCCAGCCAUGCCGCGUGUGUGAAGAAGGCCCUCGGAUUGUAAAGCACUUUCAGUGAGGAAGAACGCCUGGUGGUUAAUACCCAUCAGGAAAGACAUCACUCACAGAAGAAGCACCGGCUAACUCCGUGCCAGCAGCCGCGGUAAUACGGAGGGUGCGAGCGUUAAUCGGAAUUACUGGGCGUAAAGCGCGCGUAGGUGGCUUGAUAAGCCGGUUGUGAAAGCCCCGGGCUCAACCUGGGAACGGCAUCCGGAACUGUCAAGCUAGAGUGCAGGAGAGGAAGGUAGAAUUCCCGGUGUAGCGGUGAAAUGCGUAGAGAUCGGGAGGAAUACCAGUGGCGAAGGCGGCCUUCUGGACUGACACUGACACUGAGGUGCGAAAGCGUGGGUAGCAAACAGGAUUAGAUACCCCUGUAGUC